rnacentral:rRNA from 1 species
CCUAAACAAAACAUUUUUAUAUUUUAGUACAGGCGAUCGAAAAAUUCUAAGCGCUUCAGACAAAGUACCGCAAGGGAAAGAUGAAAUAGAAAUGAAAUAACCUUAAAGCCUUAAAUAGCAGAGAUAUUGCCUCGUACCUUUUGCAUCAUGGUCUAGCUAGUCUACCCAAGCAAAACGAAACUUUUAGUUUGACAUCCCGAAACUAAGUGAGCUACUUCAAAACAGCCCUAGGGGCCAACCCGUCUCUGUUGCAAAAGAGUGGGAAGAUUUUUAAGUAGAGGUGAUAAGCCUACCGAACUUAGAGAUAGCUGGUUGUUCAGGAAAAGAGUUUUAGCUCUACCUUAAGCUUCCCCAUUUUACCAAAAAUGCCUCAAAGCUUAAGAGCUAUUCAAAUAAGGCACAGCUUAUUUGAAAUAGGAUACAACCUCCAACAUCGGGUAAAUUAUAGUAAUUAAAAUGAAGUGGGCCUAAAAGCAGCCAUCUUUAAAAAAGCGUUAAAGCUUAAUUAUUAUUACUAAAAAAUUUCUUAAAUUCUAAUUAACCCCUCAUUUAUACUGAACUGCUUUAUAUUUUAUAAAAGUAAUAAUGCUAGAACUAGUAACAAGAAAUCGCUUUUCUCCUAAAUGUAAGCAUAAACCAAAAUGGACCACCUAUUGGUAAUUAACUUAAAUGCAAAAACUAUAAUAACAUAACUAGAAAACCCUAUUAUUAUUAACGUUAACCUUACACUAGAACAUUACAGGAAAGAUUAAAAAAAAAAA